CCUUGUACACACCGCCCGUCAAGUCAUGGAAGCCGGUAGAGCCCAAAGUCGCCACAUUUCAGUGGUGCCUACGGCAAGAUCGGUGACUGGGACU
rnacentral:rRNA from 1 species